AAGGGAUGGAUGCAAUGUUUCCAGGCUGUCACUGGGAUGCCGGAGCUGGUGUCCUGCAGACUUCGCUGGGGUCCUUGCAUGGCAGAUGCUGCCCAAAAGUGACACAAGAUGACUCCUGGUUCUCAAAUGGAAGGAGUGUAGCCCUUCUGUGGGAUGGGUCAGGACCAGACUUGCACCUUUUAGGGAGGCUGGGUGUGAUGUGCCUACACCCAGGCCGGUCACAGGGUAUCCUGGUGGCAGGUCCCUUCCCUGGAGAGCUCACACAGGCUGCGCAGCGGAACGCGCCCCUGGGAUCCGCUCCAGGAGACGCAGUGGCAGGGCCAUGAAACAGUUAAAGCUGUAUCGUGUGCUCCCUCCCAAUUGUUCUGCAAGGUGUGCUGUGACAUUUGUACUUCCUCCUGGCAGGCAGGGAGCAGAGGCAGCCAGGGAGAGGCUGCAGGAUGCUGCUGGCCACUCUGCCCCCACCUUGAGGGUCUCUGCUGGGGGGCUCCACCAUGGCCUUCCUCAAGCUCAAGAGCCACUGUGCUUACAUACUCCUCCUGGCUGUGGUGUGCGAUGUGGUCGGGCUGAUCAUCCUCCUCCUGGGAAUUUUUGCUCCACUAAGCUCCUGGGACUUCUUCGUUUACUUGGGAGCUCUGAUACUCGCCUUCAGCCUCCUCUUCUGGGUCUUGUGGUACACAUUCAACAUUGAGAUCCCAUUCAGGGAGCUAGGUUUUAACUAACCCGCAGCUCCAGCAAAGCCGAAAUGGAAACUUGCACUUGGAGGAGCAACGUCACACGUUGGGAAGCUCCAAAGCAUUAUCCAGUUGGUGAAGAGCAUCCAAAAAGACCAAAGGGAUGGGCCUGCUCGUCUCCACAGCAUCUACCAGCCAGAUGGACCUUCAGGGGAAAGGGAAACAGAAAAGGACCAGAGUGUGAAUCUAAGGAGCAAGGAGGUGAAGAGAAGCAGCACCAAGAAAGGAUGCUGUUGUGCUGCUCUUUCAAACUCAUCACUGAAAAUACAAAGAGCUGUGCUCUACUGAUCUGCUGGGCGUGUUGUCACCUCUCUGGGCACAAGCACUUGAAUGGUGGACAACCUUUUUGCAUCCUCUCUAAGCACAUCACACUCCUACCCACUGCCUUUGUCUCAGCGGGUCCAACACAAGCGGCAGGGCCACUGCAAGCUCUCCUGGCUGUGGCCAGGCAGGAUCCAGCUGACAGGCUGGACCAGUUCUGCAGACUUCACCGCAUGGAUGGGAAGGACUGGUUCAACAGGGCUCACAGCUGGAGAGACUGCCUGAGGUGUCGCUGACUCCCUGGCCUGGGGACCUUCUCUGUGUAUUGAGGCACCCAACAGGAGAGGGAGACAACAUCAUCAGACAGGACAGAGGAUUUCCUAAGCAAAACCCAGCUGCUGGCUAGAUAGAGAGGUCUUAGGUACAUUUUACCUAAUCUCACCAAGGUCCCAGGCACUUUCUACAUGGUACUUAAUGAAAAACUCAGAAGAUCUUGGUUCAAAGAACUACUGGGGCCCUGGACAGUUGCGAAGCCCAGGAACAGAUUUCCUGCUUCAGCUGUCAAACUGAUGGAGGCUCCACAUGGAAACAAACUUCCUGGCUGACUCAAAAUGUAAAUCCCAGGUGACAGGAGACCAAGAGACCCACAUCUCCAUCCUCCUGUGUCCCUGCUGCAGUGUUCAGCUGACCAUAAAGCCACUUGUGUAGGAUGGAAGCACAUAUAACACCUAUCAAAUAGGUUAUUCAGCACUUUCCAUUACAGAUGCCUCUUUUCAGUUGUUUAAAUCUGAAAUUUUAAAGUUUAUUUCUUUGUCAUUUCCCAUCUGAGAGGGUUUGGUGCUUCCCUCAGUCCCUCUCUCUGCAGACCAGCUGAGAGGACAGUGUCAGUACUCAGGGACUUCUGUGACAGUCAAGACACGCUCUGCUAAAUAGGCUCAACAAGGAGAUACCUUGACCUGAUGUAGGAGAGAUCUCUCCCACCAUUUCAGAAAUACCCCCACAGACUUUCCUGGGGUGAUGGAGAUGUGAUUUGGGCCCGAUGUGCACAUUCUGCUUGCAGUCCCUUCAGCUCCAUCAGCUGCUUCAAGCAGAGUUCAAGAGGUCCCCAGGAGAGCACAUGGAGAACAAAACACUUGGGUCUCCAAAGAGAGGGCUGUGCUGAGGAUGCCAGCCUUCACCACUGCCAGACAACAGCACGGACCAAGUAACACUUUAUGGGUGAUAUCAGGCCUUGGCUGGCCUUGCUGGACUUAAUUUUAGCACUUUGGGUGAUAGCAACAGCAGUGUGGUCUGUGGGCAAGUUGUUCAUUGUGGGAACUACUAACUCAGGGGGGAAUCUGGCAGCUCUUCUCUGUAUCUAGUUCCCAGGGCAUGAGAUGGUGGCAGAGCUGACAUCUCAGCCUCUGCCAUGAGCAGGCAACUGGUGCCCCCAGUAGCCAUCUAACCAUCCUGUCUUCCCACCCUGGGAAAGAAGGCUCCCUGCUCAACCCCAUGGAUGGUGGAGGUCCCUCAUCCUCAAAGCAUUGAAAUAACUUAUAUUUGAAGCUUAGGCCUAUUUGGGGCUAAAUCCUGUCCCAGGUAGAAGAGGGACCACCUCCCAGUUCCCCAGAAUAUCAGUCAGGGAAUCACUAAGCAAGGGAUGCAGUCAGGCACCUUGAGCAGGGUACAAGGCUGUCUUCUGGGGAGGUGAAGUGCAACAGAGCCUGUGCCGGGGUGUUUUGCAGCUUUCGGGUUUGUUCUGGAGGAACUGUUUUGGUAUCACCUUUCCAGGACUUUUUGAAUAAAGUUGCCACCCUCCUUUUCA
rnacentral:lncRNA from 1 species